rnacentral:rRNA from 1 species
GAUGAACGCUGGCGGCGUGCCUAAUACAUGCAAGUCGAGCGGUAAGGCUUUACACAGUUUGUUUAAAACGGCAAAGACAGGUCGCGAUUACGAAGUAAUCGUUUCUUAUACGAAGAAUAAACGCUUCGGUCUAAACCACUCUUUAUCUGGCUAGAUAAACGAGUUUGAACAAAGUGUGUAGAGUACACGAGCGGCGGACGGCUGAGUAAUGCAUUGGAACGUACCCCAAACUGAGGGAUAAUCCACCGAAAGGUGGACUAAUACCGCAUGUGCCAUUCGUGGUAAAGCUACGGCGGUUUGGGAGCGGCCAAUGUUCGAUUAGCUAGUUGGUGAGGUAAAUAGCUCACCAAGGCUACGAUCGAUAGCGGGUCUGAGAGGAUGAUCCGCCAGACUGGAACUGAGACACGGUCCAGACUCCUACGGGAGGCAGCAGUAGGGAAUUUUCCACAAUGGGGGCAACCCUGAUGGAGCAACGCCGCGUGCAGGAAUGAAAGGCCCCUCGGGUCGUAAACU